rnacentral:rRNA from 1 species
AUUGAACGCUGGCGGCAGGCCUAACACAUGCAAGUCGAACGAGUGGCGGACGGGUGAGUAAUGUCUGGGAAACUGCCCGAUGGAGGGGGAUAACUACUGGAAACGGUAGCUAAUACCGCAUACCAUCGGAUGUGCCCAGGUGGGAUUAGCUAGUGGGGGGGGUAACGGCUCACCUAGGCGACGAUCCCUAACUGGUCUGAGAGGAUGACCAGCCACACUUGAACUGAGACACGGUCCAGACUCCUACGGGAGGCAGCAGUGGGGAAUAUUGCACAAUGGGCGCAAGCCUGAUGCAGCCAUGCCGCGUGUGUGAAGAAGGCCUUCGGAUUGUAAAGUACUUUCAGCGAGGAGGCGUUACUCGCAGAAGAAGCACCGGCUAACUCCGUGCCAGCAGCCGCGGUAAUUC